CCGUUCUCUGCUAGCCCAUUUUCGUCACCCUUCCCAGCAGAUCACACUCACCCGCCGAUGGACAGAUGUUCUCCAGGUGUAAGUUGCAUUCUUCUUGUCCACAGGGUUGCUGACCACACAGGUGAGGUGGCCAUUCAACUGGCCCAGGGGCAGGCUCAGGCUUAGAUUCCUGGAGUCGGGGGCUGGCCCCAGUGUCUCUCUCGGCUCCAACUCCCUGGGGAGGCCCUUGCUCAGCCAGGUCACUGCCAGGUUCUCUGUGGCUCCUGGGGUCCCACACUCCAGGCUGAUGUUGCACCAGCCUGAUGUGCGAGACGAUGGAUGAAUCUGAAUCUGGGGCUGGGGGAUGGGCUCUGGGGCAAGGGGGGACUAAAGAGAAACUGACCUUCAGGACUGGAGGCCCCCCUCAAGUACAUCAUCUGCUCUCACUAAGGUGAUGCAGCUGUGUGAGGUUUCUAACUGCAGCCCUGGGGAAGGAGCCUUCUCCCUCUGGCCCAAGGGGUUCUGACUGCAGCCCAGGGGCAGAUGGCUGAGGCCCUCCCAUGCCCAGUGAAGCCUAGAUGAUUAAAUAGACAGGAUGUACAUGAUAACCACACGAUGAUAUGUACCCAUGAUAAUCAUACAGAUGAUAAUAAUUUUAUAUAUUCUUAUACAUAAUCACUACAACAUGGGAGGAGUUGUGAAUAAAGUGGAAAAACAUGUUAAAGUUCCAGUUUUGUUCAGAGAAAGAAAAGGAUAUUGAUUGUCUUUAAAUGGAGAAGUAAAAAUUUAAUUUCUGUAACUGUAGGAUAAAAAUACAAGGUGGUAUGACUUCCAAACUACUAGAAAAGGUUAGGUCAAAAAAAAGUCUACUAAUCAAAUAAAAGCCAGAAAAAAUAAGAAAAAAAAGGUAAAUAAAAAACAUUAGGGGCCAGCCCCAUGGCUGAGUGGUUAAGUUCGUGAGCUCUGCUUUGGCCGCCCAGGGUUUUGCUGGUUCAUAUCCUGGGCCCAGACUUAGCACCGCUCAUAAAGCCAUGCUGAGGCAGUGUCCCACCUAGCAGAACGAGCACGACCUACAACAGGAAUAUUCAGCUAUGUACUGGGGGGCUUUGGGGAGAAGAAGGAAAAAACAAACAAACAAAAAGAUUGGCAAGAGAUGUUAGCUCAGGUGCCAAUCUUUGAAAGAAAAAAACAAUCCCCCCAAAAAACAUUAAACAAGAUUUCAGGAGUUUAGGUUCAUACCUGUAAAAAAAAUGAAAUAUCUUGGAAUGCAUUAUAUCCCCCUGUUAAAAGCCAAGACUCAGAUGAGGUAAUGCCAGCGGCACGCUAUGCCCAUUACCUGACGACACGGAAAGAUUAAAAAGAAAGAGAUGGGAAACAGUAGAUGAAGAAAAUGUCAAGAAAAUGACUGCAGGUGUGGCAAUAGUCAUUACAGACCAAAUAAAAUUUAAGAUAAAAAACAUUAAGCAGGCCAAUGAGAGAUAUUUUAGAUUAAUAUGCAGAUACCAACAGGGUUUGGAAAUGCAUAAAUGUUAUAAAGCAAAACAAAACAAAAUCAAAGCCAAAACACUGUUGGAAAUUCAAGGAGAAAUUUUCAAAUCCACUAUUACUCCAGUGGAUUAUUUUACUGUGGUGGGUAGACCAGAGCAAAGGAUGUAACACAGGUAAAAGCAGCCAGUAAUGGCCACAUGGCCAAUCUGAGAGGUGGCUCAUCCACACGCAGCCCCACUUCCCUCUCCGUCCUCGCUUCCUCUGCUGUGGAAUCUAGAGAGCCAAAGUCUCGCUUUCGGUCUUUCUUGCAGCUGCAUUGGUGCUGACCAGGGAAGUGCGGGGAUCUGCUGGGGGAGGAAAGGCCUUCACUCCUGAAAAGACAGAGCCCCAGACCGAGAAGGACCUUCCCCUUGUCCUUCUCUCCUUGCUGCCUUUAUUGUGGAGUGACGUCUGGAGCAACAGCCACCUCUGGACCACGAGGCAACAAGCACGAGGACAAAAGUCUAUGUGCGGUGGAUGGCAGAGCAGGAAGACAGAGCGAGCCUGGGUCCCCAUGACAGUGCCGAGCAGAUGGCCCAACACCAGCAAAUGCUAUCUCUUGACUUCUUGUUACAUGAGUGAAACAAAUUUGUUUAAACCUUUGAAAAUCAAGUUUUAUGCUCAUUGCAGUCAAACAUAUUCUUAACUUACAUGCAUAGAUAACAAUAAAAAAGGAGAUUCGAUCAGCAAAAUAAAAAGUGGAUUUUUCAAAAACAGGCCAAUCAAAAGAGAAAAUAAUGAUAUCUAACUAAAAAAAUUAAAGCUAUAAUAAAUA
rnacentral:lncRNA from 1 species